UUAGCCUCCUUGAAAAGGCAGCAUUGAGCACAGUGGAGUAAAUGUAAGCUAAGAGCCAGGAGUUGGGAGUGUCUGGGGAAACUGGAUAAGAAAAGCUUUGCUUUACACAAAGGUUUUACUAUGACCCUGUCUCAAAGAGAGAAGUAGAAGGAGAGGAAAUAGGCUUGGGAAGGCAGGCUGAAAACACUUCAAGGACAUUUUUUAUCAUGGUGCUUCAAGCACUUCCAGCUCUUUCUGAGACGUUCAGAGGAGCAAGGAAAUAGGGGAGAAAAGCUGGCUAUCUAUCUCUUAAGAAGAAGUCUGCAGAAUGGAAAAAAAAAAUAGAGAACGUCUGCCAUAUGAUAAAUACAACCUUUUCAGGGUAGUUCAGCAGGCAAGAUAUAUUAUUUCCAUGAAAGAAGAAGAUAUAGAUGUAAAUUUCAGAGAAGGUACAGUGGAGUCAGAAAAGAGAAAUGACAUCCACAGUAAAUUUCUUUAUGCAGUACAAUGUCAAGGAAUGUCAUAUUUCGGACUUAAUAAAAUAUUACCAGCACCUCCAGUUUAUAACAGUAUGGAAAUUUUUUGAUCCAUUUAAGAUCAACUCAAUGUUUGGAAUUGCUUAUUAUUUGUAAAUAUGUUGUUCACCUUUUAUCCACUUUAGAUUAAGUGUUUAAUUCUUUUAAAAUGUUCAUUAUCAUUUAGGAGAUAAGUGUAGAUUUUCAAAAGUGAAGUAAAGAAAGGAAGUGGUGACUUUAUUGCUAUGCUCCAUAGCUUUUUGAACUGUGGAUCUAAUUUCAGGGGAUCUUAUGCUGAUUUUAUUUCUCUGAAAUUAUAAAUUAGUAGUUUCUUGGCUGAUUAGGCAUAAGAUUUUCAAAGAGUAGGCUAAGGUCUGUAAAGGAUUUUUGGUAUACACAUAACUCUCAUAUUAGCAGGAGUUACAGAUGUUCAACAAGAGAUAAUAGAUUUGCAAAUUCCCUGUGCAUUAUUUGUUCAUUCUUGUCCUUAUUUAAAUAUUUUUUUCCCUCUAAAGAACAAAUACAAUGUAGAUUCUAUUCUGUUUGGGCCAUAUUUUGAAAUUCUCAUUGAACUCUUGGUUAGAAAAAAUUCUACUGCUUUCAGAAGAAAUUGAGUUAUGAUGCCACGGAGCACAGAAAGAUACAUGCUUAUAUUAAAGAAACCAGUGUUUUUUAGGGCUGCCACGUCUUCAGUUCAUUGCAUGAUGGCAGCAGCAAAUCCUUAUCUUACCUCUCCCCCGAAUAAAGAAUCCAGUGGACACUACUCAAAGACAAAAAGUGGCCACUGGUGCCGGCCCCUACUGCCUUACUUUAAAGCGCUGCUUCAUUUUGCUGUCAGGUAACAAAUGAAGAAAUUAUUAAUUUUGAAUAAUUUAAUAUAGUUACAGUUAUUCACAUAAGACCUAAUCCUGCAAAAACCUACUUGUACUAGCAUCUGAAGUGGUUAUUGCAAGUAGUCACUUUUCAAAUCAAAGGGUCUAUUUAUGUUUGCAAGAAUGAGCCCUUAAUCCAUAACCAACUCCAUGAAGUCUUGCCCGCUCCCUCAAUUUUUC